AGCCGACUGAUUGCACCAUUAACCCCACUUGCCGGCGCAGUUUUGUUUCGGAAAAGAAAAUCUUAAUUAUCUGAUGGCAACAUUUCUGCAGGACAGAAUGAGUCAGACCAGCCCGGUUCGGCUUCUUCCCACUGUGCCAGGGCCAGCCGUUACCCUUGCGAGCCUCGGCUUCCUCUCCGGUGACAAUGGGGGAUGAGCACCGCACCCCAACAAGGAGGGAGACAUCAUCACCUCUUCAGGUGUAUAACCGUCGGGGCUUCGUCCGCUGGCGUACAACGUCCCAGUGCGAGGAGCGCUGGUAGGACCCGGCCGCGUGCUCCUUCCUGAGGACGUUGUCCAAACCCUUGGGCAUCCUCUUAGGAAGCCACAGUCCCAACGCAGCCUCGCAGGGCUUGGGCUGUGCCUGCCUCAGUCCUCUGCAAGGCCCGCUCCUCAGUCCGACUCCUUCCUGCCGGACCGACUGCACUGACCUCGCUCCUUUCCAGCCGGCCUCCCGUGUUCAGGUAGAACUUCAGCUUGGGAGUACUUGGCUCUUUUCUGGGGGAAGACUUUGGCUGCCUUGCACAGAACCCUCACUCUCUCAAAGGUCUCAAUCAGGGCAUACAUUUAAAGUAGGAACUGACUUUGGUUUUCACGUAGUCCAACAUACUUCAUAAAUAAGGAAACUGGUAUCGGAUGCUUAAGUGGGGACAGACUUCUCUGCAGACCCUCUGUGCUCUCAAUUUGGAGUCGCUCUAAUCACAUUGAAAGUAAUCAUUAUUUAUUUAUUUGUAAAGUGAUGGGCGUACAAACAUAAAUGCCUGUUAGAGGCAAGAGGGGAGCUUAAAUGAGCAGCCCAGACCAGGGAGCAACAGGGAAAGAUGGGGACAGUGACUCAUUGCGGGACCGAGGUCUUCCUAGGACGCAGCGACUUCUCCUCUCUUGCUAAAAACUGCUGUUGAGAAACUGGGCCCAGCAUACUGCCAGAUUUUCAGUUCAAGAGAAGGCAGAAACCUGGAGGGUUUUUCUUCUUUUUUUA
rnacentral:lncRNA from 1 species